ACGCUCGACACCUACGGAGGCAGCAGUGGGGAAUAUUGCACAAUGGGGGAAACCCUGAUGCAGCGACGCCGCGUGGAGGAAGAAGGUCUUCGGAUUGUAAACUCCUGUUGUUGGGGAAAAAGAGGAUGGUACCCAACAAGGAGUGACGGCUAACUACGUGCCGGCAGCCGCGGUAAUCUGAGCGGGCUGGCAAGGC
rnacentral:rRNA from 1 species